rnacentral:rRNA from 1 species
GACGAACGCUGGCGGCGUGCUUAACACAUGCAAGUCGAACGGAAAGGCCCUGCUUUUGUGGGGUGCUCGAGUGGCGAACGGGUGAGUAACACGUGAGUAACCUGCCCUUGACUUUGGGAUAACUUCAGGAAACUGGGGCUAAUACCGGAUAGGAGCUCCUGCUGCAUGGUGGGGGUUGGAAAGUUUCGGCGGUUGGGGAUGGACUCGCGGCUUAUCAGCUUGUUGGUGGGGUAGUGGCUUACCAAGGCUUUGACGGGUAGCCGGCCUGAGAGGGGGACCGGCCACAAUGGGACUGAGAUACGGACCAGACUCCUACGGGAGGCAGCAGUGGCGAAUAUUGCACAAUGGGCGGAAGCGUGAGGCAGCAACGCCGCGGGCGGGAUGACGGCCUUCGGGUUGUAAACCGCUUUCGCCUGUGACGAAGCGUGAGUGACGGUAAUGGGUAAAGAAGCACCGGCUAACUACGUG